rnacentral:rRNA from 1 species
CCGGGUGAGUAACACGUGACUAACCUACCCUUGAGUGGGGGAUAACCUCGGGAAACCGGGGCUAAUACCGCAUAACAUCGCAAGAUCAAAGGAGCAAUUCGCUGAAGGAGGGGGUCGCGGCUGAUUAGUUAGUUGGUGAGGUAACGGCUCACCAAGACGAAGAUCGGUAUCCGGCCUGAGAGGGCGCACGGACACACUGGAACUGAAACACGGUCCAGACUCCUACGGGAGGCAGCAGUGGGGAAUUUUGCGCAAUGGGGGAAACCCUGACGCAGCAACGCCGCGUGGAGGAUGAAGCCCCUUGGGGCGUAAACUCCUUUCGACCAAGACGAUAAUGACGGUACUGGUGGAAGAAGCACCGGCUAACUCUGUGCCAGCAGCCGCGG